UACAGAGGGUGCAAGCGUUAAUCGGAAUUACUGGGCGUAAAGCGUGCGUAGACGGUUAUGUAAGUCGGGUGUGAAAGCCCCGGGCUCAACCUGGGAAUUGCAUUCGAGACUGCAUAGCUAGGGUGCGGAAGAGGGAAGCGGAAUUUCCGGUGUAGCGGUGAAAUGCGUAGAUAUCGGAAGGAACACCAGUGGCGAAAGCGGCUUCCUGGUCCAGCACCGACGUCAGGCACGAAAGCGUGGGGAGCAAACAGG
rnacentral:rRNA from 1 species